GCGCCUGCGUAGACAAGGCCAUCCCGGAGAUGACACCGCCUGGCACCUGGGUCAGCCAAGGACCAGAGGGGCCCAACACACGUGGUCUGGGGUGCGUGGGGACUGAAGCUCUGGGGUUAAACCAGGAGAAUUCCCGUUGUCAGAGCCCACACGGGUGACUUUUCCUUUUCUUAAUUACUCUCAGAGUAAAAUGAAAACCUGAGAAGUGUGGGGUGUUGGACGGUCGCUGCUAUUGGGAUUUUAUGAAUGCAGAGCCCCAGUGUGUGCUUCCCUUCCCACUGCACCACAGCCGGAGACCACAUUCAUGAGGCCACGCGACACCCAAGCCCGGUGUGGCAGCAGCUCAUCCAGAUGCAGCAGAGUGCCCGCCUCGCUCUGCCGCUCGGCCAGCACCAUCGGCCUCCCUCCAGCGCUGCCUCGGGGUCAGCAGCUCCGGUGCGUCCCAGAGCUCAGAAGCCCUGCCAGUGACCUCACCCACAGCUCCAGCUGCCAGACCCCGGACACCGAGUGGGGCGGGCACACAGGUUCUACUCGGGAUGAAUGGAGACUGUUCUUACAGCCUUACUCCUCUGAGUGAUCCGCUCUGCCAAGGUGACCCCUCACAGUCAGACACCAACCAGUUCCCAUGGAAAUCAGAGAAACCAAAGCACCCAGGCUUCUGAAAAGCCUUGACUUCGAGCCCCUCCUCAUGAAGACUCAGUGUAUGAACUGCGUCCUGGCUGGAGAAAGGACCCAGCCUCCCAGCUCAGGAAUCACAGUAUAGUUUCAAGGAGGAAAGGUGAUACAUCGCAGAAGGCCACUGCCAAGAGGAGCGCUACUCACCGGUCGUGCAGAGCAGGGACCUUGGCG